rnacentral:rRNA from 1 species
UACGUAGGUUGCGAGCGUUGUCCGGAAUUAUUGGGCGUAAAGAGCUCGUAGGCGGUCUGUCGCGUCGAUCGUGAAAACUUGGGGCUUAACCCUGAGCUUGCGGUCGAUACGGGCAUGACUGGAGUUCGGCAGGGGAGACUGGAAUUCCUGGUGUAGCGGUGAAAUGCGCAGAUAUCGAGAGGAACACCUGCGGCGAAGGCGGGUUGCUGGGCCGACACUGACGCUGAUGCGCGAAAGCCAGGGGAGCGAACGGG